GACGAACGCUGGCGGCGUGCUUAACACAUGCAAGUCGAGCGGUAAGGCCCUUCGGGUACACGAGCGGCGAACGGGUGAGUAACACGUGGGUGACCUGCCUCUAGCUCUGGGAUAAGCCUGGGAAACUGGGUCUAAUACCGGAUAUGACUCCACGGCGCAUGUUGUGGGGUGGAAAGCCUUGUGUGGCUAGAGAUGGGCCCGCGGCCUAUCAGCUUGUUGGUGGGGUGAUGGCCUACCAAGGCGACGACGGGUAGCCGGCCUGAGAGGGCGACCGGCCACACUGGGACUGAGACACGGCCCAGACUCCUACGGGAGGCAGCAGUGGGGAAUCUUGCGCAAUGGGCGAAAGCCUGACGCAGCGACGCCGCGU
rnacentral:rRNA from 1 species